rnacentral:rRNA from 1 species
UACGUAGGGUGCAAGCGUUGUCCGGAAUUAUUGGGCGUAAAGAGCUCGUAGGCGGUUUGUCACGUCGGCUGUGAAAACCCGAGGCUCAACCUCGGGCCUGCAGUCGAUACGGGCAGACUAGAGUAUGGCAGGGGAGACUGGAAUUCCUGGUGUAGCGGUGAAAUGCGCAGAUAUCAGGAGGAACACCAAUUGCGAAGGCAGCUCGCUGGGACGUUACUGACGCUGAGACGCGAAAGCGUGGGGAGCAAACAGG